rnacentral:rRNA from 1 species
GGAGGUAUCAGAAGUGCGAAUGCUGACAUAAGUAACGAUAAAGCGGGUGAAAAGCCCGCUCGCCGGAAGACCAAGGGUUCCUGUCCAACGUUAAUCGGGGCAGGGUGAGUCGACCCCUAAGGCGAGGCCGAAAGGCGUAGUCGAUGGGAAACGGGUUAAUAUUCCCGUACUUGGUGUUACUGCGAAGGGGGGACGGAGAAGGCUAUGUUGGCCGGGCGACGGUUGUCCCGGUUUAAGCGUGUAGGUGUGUGUUCCAGGUAAAUCCGGUUCACUUUAACACUGAGGCGUGACGACGAGGCACUACGGUGCUGAAGCAACAAAUGCCCUGCUUCCAGGAAAAGCCUCUAAGCAUCAGGUAACAUCAAAUCGUACCCCAAACCGACACAGGUGGUCAGGUAGAGAAUACCAAGGCGCUUGAGAGAACUCGGGUGAAGGAACUAGGCAAAAUGGUGCCGUAACUUCGGGAGAAGGCACGCUGACACGUAGGUGAAGUGAUUUACUCAUGGAGCUGAAGUCAGUCGAAGAUACCAGCUGGCUGCAACUGUUUAUUAAAAACACAGCACUGUGCAAACACGAAAGUGGACGUAUACGGUGUGACGCCUGCCCGGUGCCGGAAGGUUAAUUGAUGGGGUCAGCGCAAGCGAAGCUCCUGAUCGAAGCCCCGGUAAACGGCGGCCGUAACUAUAACGGUCCUAAGGUAGCGAAAUUCCUUGUCGGGUAAGUUCCGACCUGCACGAAUGGCGUAAUGAUGGCCAGGCUGUCUCCACCCGAGACUCAGUGAAAUUGAACUCGCUGUGAAGAUGCAGUGUACCCGCGGCAAGACGGAAAGACCCCGUGAACCUUUACUAUAGCUUGACACUGAACAUUGAGCCUUGAUGUGUAGGAUAGGUGGGAGGCUUUGAAGUGUGGACGCCAGUCUGCAUGGAGCCGACCUUGAAAUACCACCCUUUAAUGUUUGAUGUUCUAACGUGGACCCGUUACCCGGGUUGCGGACAGUGUCUGGUGGGUAGUUUGACUGGGGCGGUCUCCUCCUAAAGAGUAACGGAGGAGCACGAAGGUUGGCUAAUCCUGGUCGGACAUCAGGAGGUUAGUGCAAUGGCAUAAGCCAGCUUGACUGCGAGCGUGACGGCGCGAGCAGGUGCGAAAGCAGGUCAUAGUGAUCCGGUGGUUCUGAAUGGAAGGGCCAUCGCUCAACGGAUAAAAGGUACUCCGGGGAUAACAGGCUGAUACCGCCCAAGAGUUCAUAUCGACGGCGGUGUUUGGCACCUCGAUGUCGGCUCAUCACAUCCUGGGGCUGAAGUAGGUCCCAAGGGUAUGGCUGUUCGCCAUUUAAAGUGGUACGCGAGCUGGGUUUAGAACGUCGUGAGACAGUUCGGUCCCUAUCUGCCGUGGGCGCUGGAGAACUGAGGGGGGCUGCUCCUAGUACGAGAGGACCGGAGUGGACGCAUCACUGGUGUUCGGGUUGUCAUGCCAAUGGCACUGCCCGGUAGCUAAAUGCGGAAGAGAUAAGUGCUGAAAGCAUCUAAGCACGAAACUUGCCCCGA